rnacentral:lncRNA from 1 species
UACAACAAGAUUUAUUAGACCAACGUGGUCUUACAAGCAGAACCCUUGUUACAAAGCUAAAUAACAUAAGCACAAGUAAUAACAAAAGCACAAGCAAUAACAAAUGGCUCGGUCAUUAACAGCAGAUGCAAAUGGACUUGAAGUCCGGAGCCCACGAACCUGAUAACCAAAAGACAAUAAAAGGAAACUACAGUACCAUCUCUCUCCAUGUCCUAGGCUCGAACCCCGAUCAUCCAAGGGAUGAACCCCGACUGUUCCACGGAAAGAACCCCGACGCCGCAACGAGGAUGGUUCUGGACUCCUGGACAGAACCAAUGAAAACUGGAAACGCUGGACCACCGGAACGCUGGAACAGGAUGCGACAAUCACCAGAAAGCAUCCCACCCCACCUGAAAGACGAGACCCCCUUGAUACCAGACGGGCUACCACUGGAGUUUACAACUGGCAACUCCCUACAUCCGGAUUGAGAAACCAUCAACAACAGGACUAAAGACUCUUAUUGUUGUUCUGCUCUCGCCCCCAGAAAGAGGAGUCGUGUGAGUGGACUGCGGCCAUCAGCUGAGUGUGCAGCUCAGCGCAUAGGUCAGGAGGGAGAUAAAAACUCCA